rnacentral:rRNA from 1 species
AACGCGAAGAACGUUACCCAGGCUUGACAUGCAGAUGACCGCUCUAGAAAUAGGGCUUUCCUUCGGGACAUCUGCACAGGUGGUGCAUGGCUGUCGUCAGCUCGAGCCGUGAGGUGUUGGGUUAAGUCCAGCAACAGGCGCAACCCUUAUCAUUAGUUGCCAACAUAUUAGGUGGGAACUCCCAGUGAGACUGCCUGGGUUAACCAGGAGGAAGGUGAGGAUGACGUCAAGUCCUGCAUGGACACUUAUGUUCAGGGGCAUACACCACGUGCUUACAAUUGGUCGGCUACAUAUAGAGCAGCAGAACGUCCCUGAUGGCCGAUAUGCAAUAUUCCCCAACAAACCACGACUCUCCACGUUGCAAGAACUGUAAGUCCUGCAAUCUCCGACUAGUCCUGAAUGAUCCGCAAUAUGUCUACGUCACAAAGGGGCGUUCAAGCCCAAGAUCACG